rnacentral:lncRNA from 1 species
GGAAACAUGUCUGGCAGCCUGUUGAGGGAGGGCCAGUGAGUCACUGAUGUGGAAUUCUUGGUCAGGCCCUGAGUGCUGGGCUUACCGCGUGGACCCCGGACAUUUAUCUUCCUGGUGAAAGUCUAUGUGGGGAAAGAUAAAUCACGUUUGAGAUCUGCUAAGUCAUCACCUGCCUUUGUGGCCAAACCUGAAAGCCAGGCCCCGGGUCUCAUUUCCCCAACAACAGACUGUGAGAUACCAUGGAGACAAACUAGCGGCGAGUGACUUCAUUAAGUCUGCAUGGCAAGAGUGUUGGGAUGGUUCUUGAGGUGAGAUGAUUCAGCUGAGGUCGACUCUAAGCGGCCCUCCUUGAAAAAGCUUGCUUAGAAGCCAGAUAUGGUUGAGAAAUGCUGCAUUGCAUUGUGGGAAAUUCCCAGUGUAUCCCAGACUCUUUCCAAUCAAACAGUGCUAACUCUGAACUCCUGGAGCCCAGUGAGGAGACUUAACUUCAGAACAUCAGAGGUUUCUGGGACUGUUCUUAUGGUGCUGGUUUUAAGAGCUCCAGGAUGGCCCACAGUCCAAAGUCUACAUUCUCUCAGACUUCUCCAGUGACUGAACACCAGAAACUCAGGCUAAGGGGCAAAGGGAGAUGGCUCAGUUGGUGAAGCACUCACUACUCAAACAUGAAGACCUGAGUUUUGAUGCUCAGCACCCACUUUAACAACAACGUCAAACAGAAUUAGGAGAACGAAGAGGAGGAGGAGGAGGAGGAGGAGGAGGAGGAGAAGGAGGAGGAAGAAGAAACAAAGGGAGCAGCAGCAGCCUCUAGGUGUGGUGGCGGGUGUCUGUGUCCCAGCGCUGGGGAGGCAGCCAGCCUAGUCAGAUGUGAGUUCCAGGUUCGGUGAGAGAGCCUAGACUUAAAAAAACUGAAGAGACGCCUAAGAUACCUGACAUUGAUUUCUGGUCUGCACACACAUCUAUGUGUGCACACAGAAAGACACACACACAGUCACAGAUACACAAUACACACAUGCACAUACAUCCACACACAUGUAUACAUGAUACAUUACACACAUGAAUACACACAUAUACACACAUGUACACAAUGCACAUGCAUUCACACACAUGUACACAUGAUACAUGUACACACACACUCACACACACACGCACACGCACGCACGCACGCACGCACGCACGCACGCACGCACACACAGACUUGGGUACCACAGAGCCCACACUGAGCCUUUUCUUCCUUCUUCUUUAAACCUGAGCUUCCUAAAGGCAAACAGAGGGGAUAGGUCAGAGGUGGGUAGAGCCAUCUUGGAUCCACUCAUGGGUGAGCAUCUUGGGAAGCAGCGGCCUUGGGCAAGAGACCUUUCAAAGAGUGGGAAGGAGGCUGUGAGGAAAUCAACCUCAUGGAUAUUUUGAGUACGAAGGCAAAUGUUUGCUCCUUGGGGGGUCUUACCUUCCCCCUUCUGUAAGUAGAGCAUCCUUGGGGUACAUGGGGAGGAAAUGGUUUCCUUCAGGAGUGUUUAUUUAUCCCUGGUUUGGGCUGUAUCCAGGCAAAUGCCUUUAGUGCCUUUCUACACAUCAGAGAAAUGAAUUCAACCUAAGAUGGAAAAGUCAAGCCAUCAGAGAAUCCCAGGUGUGUGGGGACUCAUUUCAGAUAUUUGAGGAGGAGCCCCAGGGCACACAUUAGUACUGGCCCACCAGGUGCAUGUUAGCAAUGGGAUGUAAUUAGGUCUCUUAACCAAGCCCCACUGAGGCAGAGCAGGACAUGCGGCAGGAGGAGGAGGCUGCCUUGGAUGUAGCUGCCACCAGCCUCACCCAGCAAAGCCCCAGUGUAGCGACCCGUGGAAAUCCCGGACGUCCAAGCUUUUUGGAACAUUGUCACGAGUGGCUAUUGUUAUCAGUUCCCAGUGUCCUAUGGACAUGUCUACAGGCCAUGCUGGCUUUGUGCCAAGUACUUACUGCUGAGUUGUUGCAUGGAUUAAUACACAGACGAGCAAAGCCAGACGUACAGCUUUCAGCCCCAUCUAUGCAUGCAAUGCUUUCAUUUGGUUGUCUUUAGAGAGAACUCGGUGUUAAAUACCACAAAAGCAGAAGAGGGGCUGAUUAGAUACACCAGGAAAUCAUGGCCAGUAUUGUCUUAUCAGGACACGUUCAUAGUGUUCGUGCGUGCGUGCGUGCGUGCGUGCGUGCGUGCGUGUGUGUCUGUGUGUGUCUGUCUGUUGUUUACUCUGUGUGGAAGGAAGAACACUGCUCUGCAAAUUGACAUAUAAGGUGGAAUUGGACCCACCGGGUGAAAAGAAGAAAUGAGACAGCUCCUGUGCUCUUGGUAGGCCAAACUGGAGCUCCAGGCACUUUGGCUUCCACUUUGGGGGUCUGGCAGCUUUAGUAACAUCAAGCAAAUAGCCCGUGAACUCCAUCGAUUGUUAGCCCCCGAUUUAAACCCAAGGCCAUCUGGUUCUGAAGCCGCUCCCCCCAGGCUGCCUCCAGCAGGACAAGUGGUCAAGGCAGGAAACCAGUGGCCCUUGGUGACAGCCCCACUGCCCAGAGCAACAGACUGUGGUCAGAAUCUGCAGCAACCACAAGAGGCCUGUUCUUCCUUCCCUCUUCCAUGCUGGGAGUGUGGGUUCCUGUCCUCCAGCAGAUAGACCUGGUGAAAUUGCACAUUUGUUGUGCAGAGUUCUUUAAAGCGAGAAAUCACUCAAAGGCCAAAUGAGAUUGCCAACCAGGGGUGUUGUCUGAAAAUAGGGCCUUAGGGUCUUGGCUGCUCUGCUUAUCCUGCAGAGAGGAGGAAGACACAGCUUUGAGACAGAGCAAAUGCACAGAUUUUGGGGGAUCAGAGUCUAUCCCCUCACCCGGCCUUUCUAAUGAUUCAAUUUGGCCUAUUGAAUCUUGUGAGACUCCCUUGAGUUCAUCAAUUUGGUGUCCUUCUUAAUAGGAAAGAAAAAUAGGGAUCACUUUAUGGCUAAAAGACUUGCUCUUUUAAAGCCAGGUCUAGUUAAAGAUGAACAACUCGAAGGGCAUGACUGCUUUCUGGCCCUUAGUGCUACAAUGUCUGAGGUUGUCGGUUGUUUCAGUGGAGGUCAGCGAAGGCCAAACAAAGCAGGGGAGGCCAAGCUGCUCCAAGGAGGAUUUAGAUCUCAAUAUGUUAAAGAGAGCCAUUUCUGUGCUGACCUGCUCUUUGGCCAGCAACUCCUUUUGGUUACAUGGUCUAGAAAAUAUUUUAAAAUGUGAAGACUUGGCAUAGGGAUACCUUUGCAUGCUUCUCCUUGGUCCGCCUCACAGUCACUCUCCCGAGAAGGGUUCCUUAGGAUGUGCCUUCUGCACCUCUGUAACUGGGGUCCAGCACGUCCCUGGCGGUCCUAACAGGCUCAUUAAGCUAACGAGCAAGUGAGUACAGAAAACGACUGCUCUUUUUGGCAGCGCAUCCCACUAUUAGAGCGCAGGCAGAUGGAGCAGACCUGUUUGGUUUUUAAUUCAGUUCCAAGAAAUUGUCCAAGUCCGAGAAGAUGAAGAUGUAAGGGUCCACCCUGGCUUCAGGCUCUGAGGGAAGUGGUCUUCACUCCACUCUGGGAACUGUCUUUUUGAGUGGUCCUUGGCCUCACGGUGGGUCACAGGCCACCAAUGGAGAGGUCUCGGCUGGAUCCUGUUGGCUCAGUGAACCCAUUCCAUUCUAGACUUCCCUGGUUGGACUUCCAGGUUCACAGCCUGGUGCUGGAAUCAAGUGCUGCUGGCCUCAGAGACCCGUGGCUGCUUUCCUGACAUGCACACAGUGACACCCCUGUAACUUGCAAGUCAGAUUUAUCAAGAUCAAAAAAAAAAAUCUUGCUCUGCUCAAAUGACCCAGACUCUUGGAGGUGUGAUUCUCUAUACAGUAUAAACUCGGUUACAGUUUUGACUGCAAGGAUGCAAGAGAAAGCAUCUAGACAGUUUCAUGGUGGCCCUGUCCUAUUAACCCCAGCUCCUCAGCUCUUUCCUUAGUCCCCAGCUCUUGUCUUUCCUUUUCAUUACUCUGUCAUGGCACAAGGACAAUUGGGAUGACUGAAGAAGUCUUUGGUUUGCAUACAGGCCGGUGCUCCAUGGCUGCACCAUUUUGCUGCUUUGCCCAUGGAACGAUGGUUUUGAACAAAUCUGUUUUACCACUAGCAAGCUCUGCAGACCCAAGCAUGAUACAGCCCAUUGCUGUACAAUCUUCUGGAUCAUUUAAAAUAAUUCUUUCUGUAUGGUCUCUUUGUUCGUAUGGUUUUCAUGUAAUGGAUUUAUUUUGUCUUUAUUUUAUGCAUGAGUGUUUUGCUUGCUUGCGUGUCUGGGCAGGUGGCUUGUGCCUGGUGUCCACAGAAGAUGGAAGAGGGUGUCAGAUCCCCUAGAACUAGGGCUGUCGACAGUUGAGAAUCAUAAUGUGGGUGCUGGGAUUAGAACCUGGGUCCUCUGGAAGAGAAGCCAAUGCUCUUAACCACUGAGCCAUCUCUCCAGGCCCGACCUAGUGGAUUUUUUAUUCUGGCAUUUCGAAGGUGUUUUUUUUUUUUUUUUUUGUUCUAUUUUAAUAGCCCAGUGGGUUGGGUUGAGCUUUUAAAACCUCACACUGCAGUUAUAUGUAUACCAUUAGAAAUUUCAAACAUGAGCAACAGUGAAGAGAAUAAGUAUGGGGCAGAGAACAAGGAUCAGAACAAGGCUGGUUCACUCAGCUUUGUUGGAACAACCAACAGCAAAGUGAUGGACCAGCAUGCCUGUCAGGCCCCUGAGGGCUGCCUGGAAGGGGUGGAAUUCCUUCAGGACCAGAGUCAGAAGCCAGCCCAAAUGCUCAAUCUUGGUGGUCUUCUGAGCUGGCUGCCCCUGAGUCCCAGGCCGUGUGGAUUCUGUGUUGCCUAUAGUGAGAUCCCAGGGGAGACUGAAGAAGGACCAGGAGGUUAGACCCUGUGGCUGUCUAAGCACCUGGUACCCAAGGAAACAGUCUGAGUUCGGCCCCAUUCAGACAUGAAUAUGGCCCCUGAUUUAGGAUGGUUGACUUCAGUGGGGUUUCACCUUCGAAACUGAUCUUCACUCAGUGGAAGCCAGCCUCAACUUGAGAGCGCUGAUAUUUUUCUGGGUUAACCACAUGUGAUGGGUGGUCCCAUCCUCUCUCAGCAGCCACUGAGAAGCAGUAGCCAGUGCAGUUCCCAGUCAGCUCUAUAUCCAACAUUCUGUACUGCAGGGUGCUGUGUGGCCGCUGUGGUGGGGCACAUGGGAGACGGGAACGGAGUCCAAACACCUUUCUGCCUGUGAUGGACUUGCCGGUGUAUGGCCUGCAGAAUCAGGGAGCCUGUGUACUUUUCAACACAGAGCCAUUAAGGGUGAGAAACCAGGACCCAAUGCAGAAGACUGCCUUCUAUAUCGGCCUGUUUGUCCCUCACGGAGUGCUUAGAACACAGCAGGACCAAGGCACUGUUGCAGAACUAAAGAAUGAAUGAUUGGCUUGCUCUUCAUGGUAACAAAGAGACUUCACUCAGGCCCAGCUGAUCAAUUCAUGAGCUUUCAUGAAACACCCAUUAAUGUGGCCAAGACUUACCACAUCUACCCCGAGGGCAGGCUGGGUUUUUGAAAGAACUAUCUGCGGGUUCUUUUAAUGAAAACCAAACAUCAUAAAUCGUGCCAAGACUCACAAGCGACAGCCCCGGGGAAGAGAGGCUUCCUUUCUAAUUACCUGCAGCGAGUGAGCUAGCAAGGUUGGCUGUGGGUCCAAGUACAGACAGAUGUGUAAGUAGUAUCAGUCAUCGCAACAAACCCCAUGCUGCCACAGUGUGUCUUCCCGUGUUCUGCAAGCCAUGGGGGACAACAGGGAAACCUUCACACCAACCUGCACCCCCAGGGUCUGGUAUGCAACUUUCAGAAGAGUUAAAUAUCAGAUAUUGCUUUGAAUUGUUAUUUCUUUUGCCCCCACUGAGAACAAAACUUGCAUGCCCAAAUUACUUUUGUUUGCACAGCUCUGAAUCUCAUGGAGGACUUUGAUCACACUCCUGACACCGUGUGGAAGGAUGCCUGCCGAUACCAUUAUGCCUGCUUUUCUGGCUGGCACUGUUAUUGAUUCUUGCCAGCAGGAGCUACAGCAGGCUCGGGAUGUUGCUUUAGGAAGCAAAACUUCAUGUGAUGUUUGGUUAUUAAGAACCACUGCUGUGUGGGUCACCUGUGCUGGGCUUGGCUACUUCGUCCCUCUGAAGACAUCACGGGGGAAGAGACACAAAUUCAACACAUAAGUGCCCCUCAAAUGAUCCACUCUACUGUGUGCACUGAAGUGUAUGCCUGAGCCCUUCAUCAUGUCCAUUUACUUGGGACACAGGAUUUGUUUGGUUUAUGGAAACUUCCAGGGGAAGCAGGAGGUUAGGACCGUGCAGCAUAUGAACUCUGGGAGCGCACUGUUCAGUCUGUAGUGGAGGCAUUUGGACACUCGGACUACGGAAGGAGGGACUUACUCUGUCACAUCUCAGCUGUGUGACUUUGAUCAUGUCCUUGGACUAGUCUGGCUUGCGGAAGGUGCUCCUAUUGACCUCAAAGAAGAGAGACAUGGCUUUGUGAUUAGCAAGGUGCUCCGCCCAUGGAAAAAAAAUGCAACAUGCCUUGCAUCAUUUUUGAAUGUGAACUUAGAUGACAGCAAUGUGGAAAUGGGGUGAAAUCACCAGAAAAACAGAUUUGUUGCUGCAAUAACAUUUCUUUCAAGAAAACCUGGUCCCUAGAGGUGGGCCUGGUUGCUGACAUUUGAAUACCUCCACAUUUCCAAGGAACAGAGUUCUUUUUCCCUGCGUGACUAGAAGCUUAAAACAUUACCCUCUAAUGAACACCAGAUGGUAGAUCUGGAAUGCCUGGCCUGCAAGCCUGGCCUGGAUGCCCCUUAGCUUGCUUCACUUAUACAGUACCUGGGCCAACAACUCAGCAGACUGAACAGGAGAGAGAAGCCUAGGGUUUAACCACCCUAUAUCACAAAGUACCUGUGGCUGCCAGGCGAUGCCAAUGACAUUCUCAGCCUGUGAUGUCACAGACAAAUCUUUUAGCAGAA